UAGAUUUGAAAGUGUGUGUUGUGUAAAAAUAACAGGAAAACAAGAUAUGUUCCUAAAAAUGAAGAAGAAACUAAAGGUGACAUUAGUUUCACUUAUGUCGGCCCAUAUUCUGUGCGUUUUGAAUGGAGAGAUCCAGGUGUGACUGCAAAUGGACCACAACCAUUCAAAAUCAGACUGAAGAGUGCAAGAGUAACUUAUUCUUAUGCAACACAUGCAAAUCAUUAUGAAAUAGAUCAACUGUCACCUGACACAACAUAUAACAUCACAGUUGUGGCAACUGAGGACAAGUGUUUCUUUGCAUCUGUGUGUACAGCAAUCCCUGCACCUGAGAAUUUUGAAUAUGUCUCGGAGGACCCAACAUCUGUAUUAUUAAGUUGGACAUCACCUCAGAAAAUGGAUCCCAGUCAUUACAAAUUCCAAGUGAUACUGUAUAAAAAUGAAGAGGAAACACAAUUAAUGGAUGUGGAAUCAAAUGAAACUGAUUUUUUAAUGGAUAAUCUUCUUCCUGCCACUGAGUACAAAGCUACAAUAAACACAAUACUGAAUAAUGACAAAAAGAGUGAACCUGCUAUUUUAAUGGUCCACACAAAGCCACUCCCACCUGAAAACCUGCAGAUCAAAAAUGGUGCAACUUCUGUUCGUCUAAAAUGGACUGAUCCCAUUGCUGAUCACAAGAUCAAACACAGUUUCAGGGUGAUCUACAGUAAUGAAGCCCACACAAUAGAAUCAUUUCUUACAAAGGAAAGAGAAGCAAAUGUUUUAAGUUUACAACCAGGAACAGAAUAUGCCUUCUCUGUCUACACUGUAGUUGAAUCGAAUGUCAAAACACUUGAGAGCACUCCUGUAAAAAUCAUACAACGCACAAGAGCGUUAUUCUUAUUCUUUUUUAUUAUUUUUUACAACCCUGCUGAAAAGACCAGGCUGGAACAUCCAGUCUGAUCCAGGUUGGUUUGGUGCUUUCUGUAGUUCAAAGCAUGAAGCUAGCAUGCAAUUCAGAAAUGCCUUGACUGAUAAAAUGUGUACCUUGAAUGCAUUUUAAAUUGUUAAAAGGAAUGUAAAUGUAAAUUGAAAGUCUUGCUGGUUAAGGUAGGUAGAGGGACAGUUUAAUGCGG
ensembl:lncRNA